rnacentral:rRNA from 1 species
CACCGCGGUGAAACGAGGUGACCCAAAUUGAUAACUACGGCGUAAAGGGUGGUUAAAACCUAUUAAACUAGAACCAAACCCCCUCAUUAUUGUGACAAGUUUGCUGGGGAAAGAAGCACUAUAGACGAAAGUAGUUCUACACAUUUGAAACCACGAAGACUAGGGUUA